AUGGGGUUGUGGUCAUUUCUUGAGGGUGUCCUGCUUAUAGCUAAUGCUUUGGCAAUAUUGAAUGAAGACCGUUUUCUUAAUCCCAGAGGAUGGAGCUUCGCUGACGCUAGAGGCAUGCAUGGAGCAAACACCUUCAAAGGACAGAUGAUUGGCCUCAUAUACGCUGCUCAAUACAUGAGAUUUCCAUUGAUCCUUCUUAAUGGAAUCACUAUACUUGUGAAGUUUGUUACAUUCUGA
rnacentral:rRNA from 1 species